ensembl:snoRNA small nucleolar RNA SNORD60
AGCCAGUGAAGACAAACAUAAGUUUUCUGACACCUCGUAUGAGAGCUGUGUCACAGCUCAUGAUUCUAACUUUGAUCUGAGGCUC